rnacentral:snRNA from 1 species
AGCAUACUAUGGAUAGUAGAGUCA